GACGAACGCUGGCGGCGUGCUUAACACAUGCAAGUCGAACGAUGAAGACUGGUGCUUGCACUGGUUGGAUUAGUGGCGAACGGGUGAGUAAUACGUGAGUAACCUGCCUUUGACUCUGGGAUAAGCCUGGGAAACUGGGUCUAAUACCGGAUAUGACAAGGAACCGCAUGGUUUUUUGUGGAAAGGGUUUGUACUGGUUUUAGAUGGGCUCACGGCCUAUCAGCUUGUUGGUGGGGUAGUGGCUCACCAAGGCGACGACGGGUAGCCGGCCUGAGAGGGUGACCGGCCACACUGGGACUGAGACACGGCCCAGACUCCUACGGGAGGCAGCAGUGGGGAAUAUUGCACAAUGGGCGCAAGCCUGAUGCAGCGACGCCGCGUGAGGGAUGACGGCCUUCGGGUUGUAAACCUCUUUCAGCAGGGAAGAAGCGAAAGUGACGGUACCUGCAGAAGAAGCGCCGGCUAACUACGUGCCAGCAGCCGCGGUAAUACGUAGGGCGCGAGCGCUGUCCGGAAUUAUUGGGCGUAAAGAGCUUGUACGCGGUUUGUUGCGUCUGCUGUGAAAGACCGGGGCUUAACCCCGGUAUUGCAGUGGGUACGGGCAGACUAGAGUGCAGUAGGGGAGACUGGAAUUCCUGGUGUAGCGGUGAAAUGCGCGGAUAUCAGGAGGAAACACCGAUGGGGAAGGCAGGUCUCUGGGCUGUAACUGACGCUGAGAAGCGAAAGCAUGGGGAGCGAACAGGAUUAGAUACCCUGGUAGUCCAUGCCGUAAACGUUGGGCACUAGGUGUGGGGGACAUUCCACGUUUUCCGCGCCGUAGCUAACGCAUUAAGUGCCCCGCCUGGGGAGUACGGCCGCAAGGCUAAAACUCAAAGGAAUUGACGGGGGCCCGCACAAGCGGCGGAGCAUGCGGAUUAAUUCGAUGCAACGCGAAGAACCUUACCAAGGCUUGACAUAUACUGGACCGCCUCAGAGAUGGGGUUUCCCUUCGGGGCUGGUAUACAGGUGGUGCAUGGUUGUCGUCAGCUCGUGUCGUGAGAUGUUGGGUUAAGUCCCGCAACGAGCGCAACCCUCGUUCUAUGUUGCCAGCACGUUAUGGUGGGGACUCAUAGGAGACUGCCGGGGUCAACUCGGAGGAAGGUGGGGAUGACGUCAAAUCAUCAUGCCCCUUAUGUCUUGGGCUUCACGCAUGCUACAAUGGCCGGUACAAAGGGUUGCGAUACUGUGAGGUUGAGCUAAUCCCAAAAAGCCGGUCUCAGUUCGGAUUGGGGUCUGCAACUCGACCCCAUGAAGUCGGAGUCGCUAGUAAUCGCAGAUCAGCAACGCUGCGGUGAAUACGUUCCCGGGCCU
rnacentral:rRNA from 1 species